CAGCUUGUUGGUGGGGUAAUGGCCUACCAAGGCGACGACGGGUAGCCGGCCUGAGAGGGUGACCGGCCACACUGGGACUGAGACACGGCCCAGACUCCUACGGGAGGCAGCAGUGGGGAAUAUUGCACAAUGGGCGCAAGCCUGAUGCAGCGACGCCGCGUGAGGGAUGACGGCCUUCGGGUUGUAAACCUCUUUCAGCACGGAAGAAGCGAAAGUGACGGUACGUGCAGAAGAAGCGCCGGCUAACUACGUGCCAGCAGCCGCGGUAAUACGUAGGGCGCAAGCGUUGUCCGGAAUUAUUGGGCGUAAAGAGCUCGUAGGCGGUUUGUCGCGUCUGCUGUGAAAGCCCGGGGCUUAACCCCGGGUGUGCAGUGGGUACGGGCAGACUUGAGUGCAGUAGGGGAGACUGGAACUCCUGGUGUAGCGGUGAAAUGCGCAGAUAUCAGGAAGAACACCGAUGGCGAAGGCAGGUCUCUGGGCUGUUACUGACGCUGAGGAGCGAAAGCAUGGGGAGCGAACAGGAUUAGAUACCCUGGUAGUCCAUGCCGU
rnacentral:rRNA from 1 species